GCCAGUAUGGUAUAAUGGUUUGAGCAUUGGACUACAGCUCUGGAGAUCAGGGUUCAAUUUCCCUUUCAGCCA
rnacentral:tRNA from 1 species